rnacentral:tRNA from 1 species
GGGGGAAUGGCACAGUGGUAGCGCGUAAGGCCUUCUACCCUAACGAAGUCCAGGGUCCGACUCCCUGUUCCCUCA